GUGGGGAAUAUUGGACAAUGGGCGAAAGCCUGAUCCAGCCAUGCCGCGUGUGUGAAGAAGGUCUUCGGAUUGUAAAGCACUUUAAGUUGGGAGGAAGGGCAGUAAGUUAAUACCUUGCUGUUUUGACGUUACCGACAGAAUAAGCACCGGCUAACUUCGUGCCAGCAGCCGCGGUAAUACGAAGGGUGCAAGCGUUAAUCGGAAUUACUGGGCGUAACGCGCGCGUAGGUGGUUUUGUAAGUUGGAGGUGAAAUCCCCGGGCUCAACCUGGGAACUGCCUCCAAAACUGCAUGACUAGAGUACGGUAGAGGGUAGUGGAAUUUCCUGUGUAGCGGUGAAAUGCGUAGAUAUAGGAAGGAACACCAGUGGCGAAGGCGACUACCUGGACUGAUACUGACACUGAGGUGCGAAAGCGUGGGGAGCAAACAGGAUUAGAAACCCUGGUAGUCC
rnacentral:rRNA from 1 species